UACAGAGGUCUCAAGCGUUGUUCGGAUUCAUCGGGCGUAAAGGGUGCGUAGGUGGCGGGGUAAGUCAGGUGUGAAAUCUCGGGGCUCAACCCCGAAACUGCACUUGAUACUGCCUUGCUCGAGUACUGGAGAGGAGAUUGGAAUUUACGGUGUAGCAGUGAAAUGCGUAGAUAUCGUAAGGAAGACCAGUGGCGAAGGCGAAUCUCUGGACAGUUACUGACACUGAGGCACGAAGGCCAGGGGAGCAAACGGG
rnacentral:rRNA from 1 species